GGAAGAAAGAACUUAGGAUGGCUAAGAUUGUGAACUUGGUUUCGGUGCUCUCUCUUCUCCUCCUCAUUGCUUUUGCUGACGGCCAAUUUCUCGGACAUGGGUUCUUGAAGCCGCCUCCCACCCUAAAGUGUGAUAAAACCUACGGUGUAAAAAGCGGAGACACUUGUUUUGGGGUUGAGCAGACCUUCAACUUGUCUACUGCCUUCUUUGAGUCAAUCAACCCUAAUCUCAACUGCACGAGACUCUUCAUCGGCCAAUGGCUCUGCCUUAAUGGAUCACUCAGUUAAGAAGCUGCAUGCCCAACUGCUCUCAAAUAUUGCAGAGUUCAUGCACGAUGAUGAAUAAGGAGAGACCAGAAAGUAAUAUGUAUUAAUCUGGUCACCAUGUAUUUGUUGUUGCCCAUUAAUUUUCAAGUGAUUUUGGACCUUAUAUAUUAAACUCAACUCAAAGACUUCCGAGUUGUUUUACCGUGUUUUUGUUAUAUAUUCUUCAACGUCAAAGAGAAGUUCUUGAGUACGAGCGUCUGCAUGCCGCACCCCUCGCACAAAAGGUGAGACAUGCCGCAUACUAGGGUUUAUCCUUUAAGGACAUGUUUACGUGUUUGUAAUUAAAAUAAGGAAGACCCAGACAUAGCAUCAUCGAGUUAUGAAUGAAUUGAAGUGAGCAUGAAUUGGAAAAGAGUCAUUUUUAUUAAA